GCAAAGGAUGAUACUUCAGGUGACAACACUGCUUAUGAUGCCACUCAGGCAGAAAAGAGAGGACUGCUCACAUGAGCAAGAUUUACAUCAGGCAUGGUUUGUAUCAUUCAAACUACCUGUACAUCAUUCAUGGUGGUUCAGGCUACCAAAGAUUCUCUUCAGACUUGUGUGACUGAUAAGAGCCAGACAUCCUAGAGGAGCUGCUCACCAGAGAGAAAUCCAUGUGGCACAAACCUAAGCCCUGGAAUUUAAGACUGGUUCAUUCACUGACCCUCGGAUUAAGACUGACAAAAGCUACCAACUUUACUGUCUGAUCACUGAAAUGAGAUGGAAAAU